rnacentral:hammerhead_ribozyme from 1 species
GCUGAGGAGUCCCACAAUAGGGCGAAACGGCCGUCC